CUUUGCGUGUGGGGUGGGGGCACUGUCUCUGCCAAAUGUCCUCUCAGCAGGGGAACCGCCUCUCCCUGUGUGGCCUGAGGACCCCGGACUUCACCCUGCUCCUGGGGAUUCACCCUUCCUACCAGAGCACCACCAGAUUUUCUGCCUCCUGUUAAGCCAGUUUUGGUGAUUUACACAUUCAAGAAAUCUUCCACUUCUUCCGGAUAAAAUCAACCAGAAUGAGGCUGUAUCUACUAUCUACUUGUGGUUUAAAAUAUCUCCUUCA